rnacentral:rRNA from 1 species
GAUGAACGCUGGCGGCGUGCCUAAUACAUGCAAGUCGAGCGAACGGACGAGAAGCUUGCUUUUCUGAUGUUAGCGGCGGACGGGUGAGUAACACGUGGAUAACCUACCUAUAAGACUGGGAUAACUUCGGGAAACCGGAGCUAAUACCGGAUAAUAUUUUGAACCGCAUGGUUCAAAAGUGAAAGACGGCCUUGCUGUCACUUAUAGAUGGAUCCGCGCUGCAUUAGCUAGUUGGUAAGGUAACGGCUUACCAAGGCAACGAUGCAUAGCCGACCUGAGAGGGUGAUCGGCCACACUGGAACUGAGACACGGUCCAGACUCCUACGGGAGGCAGCAGUAGGGAAUCUUCCGCAAUGGGCGAAAGCCUGACGGAGCAACGCCGCGUGAGUGAUGAAGGUCUUCGGAUCGUAAAACUCUGUUAUUAGGGAAGAACAUAUGUGUAAGUAACUGUGCACAUCUUGACGGUACCUAAUCAGAAAGCCACGGCUAACUACG